AACCCAUGGUGAGGGCACCUUUUAAGUAAGUCCUUGUGUCUCUCCCAUGCAUCGUAAAGUGUUUCUAAAUCCAUCUGAACAAAAGAAGAGAUAUCAUUACGCAAUUU
rnacentral:snoRNA from 1 species